UCAUUAGAGAAAUACCAGCAAUAAUUUGAAAGCUACAUAAACUAAUAAAAAGUAAAAUAUUUGCUCUUCGGUUGUUACGAUAUCAUCUUCAAGCAUAUGAUCAGCUGCAUCUUCUUCAAAUCCUUCCGGUAAUUAGCCUUGCGCUUUCAUCUUCAAGUAUAUGAUCAGCUACAAGUUGAACCUAUAAACAACAAUAAAAGUAUCAUGUGACGUUCAUAUAGAUAAUAUGUAUAUGUUUCUUUUUACCGCAAUGAACCACCAUUCACUUUGGAAGGAUCGAGACAUUCAAUGCUUGGGCUACUUCGUGUUAUGAUCCUCGUUUUCCGUGUGAUUCAUCGGGAAAAAAAAUAAGAUCAAAAUUAACACUUGAAAGAAAACUAAUAAAGGAUAAAUAAAGCACACGAAAACAAAUU
rnacentral:lncRNA from 1 species